GACGAACGCUGGCGGCGUGCUUAACACAUGCAAGUCGAGCGGUAAGGCCCUUCGGGGUACACGAGCGGCGAACGGGUGAGUAACACGUGGGUGACCUGCCUCUAGCUCUGGGAUAAGCCUGGGAAACUGGGUCUAAUACCGGAUAUGACUCCACGGCGCAUGUUGUGGGGUGGAAAGCCUUGUGUGGCUAGAGAUGGGCCCGCGGCCUAUCAGCUUGUUGGUGGGGUGAUGGCCUACCAAGGCGACGACGGGUAGCCGGCCUGAGAGGGCGACCGGCCACGCUGGGACUGAGACACGGCCCAGACUCCUACGGGA
rnacentral:rRNA from 1 species